AGCUCCAUAAAGCGGAUGGUAUUGGUUCCCUAACAUAAACGGCGAAGCAGCCAUUCCACCACCGUUAAACACAUGUUGACCUUGUACCUGCUGUUGCUGAGGCUGUCCAUGAUUAGCCAUCGAACCCAUACUAAUCUUCACCGGACCAGGUUGAUCAUGCCCCUUUCCUGAAGCCGCAGGACCCAUAGAAGCAAGCUGGCAAGUGGCAGUUCUAUUAAGAAUCCUCUUCUUCGGUUCUUUAAGAGCUUCUUUAGCUCCUUUCCUAGUCUUGAACAUAACAAAUCCAAACCCUUUAGCCUUACCAGUAGCCUUAUCUAUAACAACGGUACACUCUUCAAUCUCACCAUAACCUUCAAAGACUCCAACAAGAGUCUCGCGAGUCGUCUCCCAUGGAAGACCAUAAACGAAGAUUUUCCUGUGUGUAACAUCACGAUCUGCGGCUUCUACGACGGCGGAAUAGAUCGAAGAUCCGAUUCGAGAAGCGGAACAAACUAGAUCGACAAGCUGGUCCUUGGAAUAAGGUUGUAGAAGCUCACGGAGCUCUUCUGGGUCGAAUUCGUUGUCUGAUUCGGAAUCGCUAGAAUCAGAGCUGGAGCUUGAACUUGAAUAUGGCGUUGAGGAUUCUGGUUGUUGUUGUUGUUUGUUAAUCUUCUGUUUCUUAUCGAAAUUCGUGGAUUUGGAUUUCACGAGUUUGCGCUUCUUAGAUUUGUCUAGGGUUUUCGCCAUUGUAGUAGAGGAUAAACGAGUCAAGAAGCUUUUAGGGAUUUUGAUUUUUGAUUUUUGAUUUCAGUUUCCUGUUUCC